GCUUGGGUAACCAUGAUAUGCUGCAAGGUGUCACUCAUGGUUUGUGGAAGCCCUAAACGUGUGUAAUCGCUAAAGGGAGAAUUGAAAGUAAGUUUCAAUUCACAAUCGAUAUAAAAUGGUUUUAAUCGCCCACUGCCUCGCUAAAAGGAACCUAAUGGAUCGCACACCAUAAGAGGUUGAGAUUGGAGAUUAAACGGAGAUGAGUAAGAAUGAUUAAAUGGUUUAAUCAUUUAUUUAUGGUAAGGAUUAAUUAAUAUGUUAAUUAAUCAAACGAAUAAGUUCGUUAAAAGACCUCGGACCUCGGGAUAGUUUUGGACGUUUAGGCCCAAUGGGCUUCGAACGUCAAGCCCAUUGACUUAAGUUGUAUGACAACUUAAUGAAUAAUGAUUCACUAA
rnacentral:lncRNA from 1 species